GAUGAAGAACGCAGCGAAAUGCGAUAAGUAAUGUGAAUUGCAGAAUUCAGUGAAUCAUCGAAUCUUUGAACGCACAUUGCGCCCCCUGGUAUUCCGGGGGGCAUGCCUGUCCGAGCGUCAUUACAACCCUCAAGCUCAGCUUGGUGUUGGGCCCCGCCGCCCCGGCGGGCCCUAAAGUCAGUGGCGGUGCCGUCCGGCUCCGAGCGUAGUAAUUCUUCUCGCUCUGGAGGUCCGGUCGUGUGCUCGCCAGCAACCCCCACUUUUUUUCAGGUUGACCUCGGAUCAGGUAGGGAUACCCGCUGAACUUAAGCAUAUCAAUAAGCGGAGGA
rnacentral:misc_RNA from 1 species